UACAGAGGUGGCAAGCGUUGUUCGGAAUUACUGGGCGUAAAGGGCGCGUAGGCGGCCUUCUAAGUCAGACGUGAAAUCCCCCGGCUUAACCUGGGAACUGCGUCUGAUACUGGAGGGCUUGAAUUCGGGAGAGGGAUGUGGAAUUCCAGGUGUAGCGGUGAAAUGCGCAGAUAUCAGGAGGAACACCAGUGGCGAAGGCGGUGCUCUGGGCCGGAACUGACGCUGAGGAGCGAAAGCGUGGGGAGCAAACAGG
rnacentral:rRNA from 1 species